UACGAAGGGGCUAGCGUUGCUCGGAAUCACUGGGCGUAAAGGGUGCGUAGGCGGGUCUUUAAGUCAGGGGUGAAAUCCUGGAGCUCAACUCCAGAACUGCCUUUGAUACUGAAGAUCUUGAGUUCGGGAGAGGUGAGUGGAACUGCGAGUGUAGAGGUGAAAUUCGUAGAUAUUCGCAAGAACACCAGUGGCGAAGGCGGCUGUCUGGUCCGGUUCUGACGCUGAGGCGCGAAAGCGUGGGGAGCAAACAGG
rnacentral:rRNA from 1 species